rfam:Populus trichocarpa scaffold_4_contig_377, whole genome shotgun sequence.
UUUGGAACUCGAGACAUGGGCUGAACACGAAACAAUGUCUAGGAUGUAAGACAGAUUUAGACUUCUCUUUUGUUGCUAAGAUUUGAACUUCAAAAUGACAGUAUUGAUUCUUGGACUCUUAUGAAUGUUUUAGAACUAUGUCUUAGAUUUCCAUC